rnacentral:lncRNA from 1 species
CUGUUCUUUGGUGCACCUCACGGUGCUUGUGGCAUGUUGUUUGGCGGUCCGGGAGGGGGGGCGUGGAAUCGCUUAUGGGCGAUGGUUAGGCCGGAGCUUCUGAAGCUCUUCCUCUCCAUGUGGUUGGUUGUUUUUUCUUUUUCUUUUUUUGUUGCUUUUCUUUUCUUUAGACGAGUACUCUUUUUCCUUGGGGUUUUCCAUAACAAGGUUUGAACGAGGCUCGGCCCAUAGCUUUUUUUUUGUGCAUUCAUGGGUUUUUAGGUUUUUUUUCUUUUUUGCUUUAUAUAUAACAUCUAUUUUAAUAUUUACAAAAUGGCA